rnacentral:rRNA from 1 species
ACCAGACUCCUACGGGAGGCAGCAGUGAGGAAUAUUGGUCAAUGGGCGGGAGCCUGAACCAGCCAAGUCGCGUGAGGGAAGACGGUCCUAUGGAUUGUAAACCUCUUUUGUCGGGGAGCAAAGAGGCCUCGUGAGGUCAAAAGCGAGAGUACCCGAAGAAAAAGCAUCGGCUAACUCCGUGCCAGCAGCCGCGGUAAUACGGAGGAUGCGAGCGUUAUCCGGAUUUAUUGGGUUUAAAGGGUGCGUAGGCGGACUGGAAAGUCAGCGGUAAAAUCGAGAGGCUCAACCUCUUUCCGCCGUUGAAACUGUCGGUCUUGAGUGGGCGAGAAGUAUGCGGAAUGCGUGGUGUAGCGGUGAAAUGCAUAGAUAUCACUCAGAACUCCGAUUGCGAAGGCAGCAUACCGGCGCCCGACUGACGCUGAGGCACGAAAGCGUGGGUAUCGAACAGGAUUAGAUACCCUAGUAC